GACGAACCGUGCGAACGUUGUUCGGAAUCACUGGGCUUAAAGGGCGCGUAGGCGGGUCAUCAAGUCUGGGGUGAAAUCUUUCGGCUUAACCGGAAAAUAGCCCUGGAUACUGGUAAUCUUGAGGGUGGUAGGGGCAUGUGGAACUUCCGGUGGAGCGGUGAAAUGCGUUGAUAUCGGAAGGAACGCCGGUGGCGAAAGCGACGUGCUGGACCACUACUGACGCUGAGGCGCGAAAGCCAGGGGAGCAAACGGG
rnacentral:rRNA from 1 species